GAUGAACGCUGGCGGCGUGCUUAACACAUGCAAGUCGAACGGAAAGGCCCAAGCUUGCUUGGGUACUCGAGUGGCGAACGGGUGAGUAACACGUGGGUGAUCUGCCCUGCACUUCGGGAUAAGCCUGGGAAACUGGGUCUAAUACCGGAUAGGACGAUGGUUUGGAUGCCAUUGUGGAAAGUUUUUUCGGUGUGGGAUGAGCUCGCGGCCUAUCAGCUUGUUGGUGGGGUAAUGGCCUACCAAGGCGUCGACGGGUAGCCGGCCUGAGAGGGCGUACGGCCACAUUGGGACUGAGAUACGGCCCAGACUCCUACGGGAGGCAGCAGUGGGGAAUAUUGCACAAUGGGCGCAAGCCUGAUGCAGCGACGCCGCGUGGGGGAUGACGGCCUUCGGGUUGUAAACUCCUUUCGCUAGGGACGAAGCGUUUUUGUGACGGUACCUGGAGAAGAAGCACCGGCUAACUACGUG
rnacentral:rRNA from 1 species